UUGAAAGUAUCAUAUUUUAAUGUCCUAUAAUUACAAUAUAGUUAUGUGUAACAAUUACACCUUUCAGU
rnacentral:tRNA from 1 species